UAUGAAGGUCAGGCUGAAGACCUUACCGGAUUAGCUGAGAGGUGGUGCAUGGCCGUCGUCAGUUCGUACUGUGAAGCAUCCUGUUAAGUCAGGCAACGAGCGAGACCCACGUCCACAGUUGCCAGCAUACCCUCCGGGGUGAUGGGUACACUGUGGAGACCGCUGCUGCUAAAGCGGAGGAAGGAAUGGGCAACGGUAGGUCAGUAUGCCCCGAAUCUCCCGGGCUACACGCGGGCUACAAUGGUUGGUACAAUGGGCAUCUACCCCGAAAGGGGAAGGAAAUCUCUUAAAGCCAAUCGUAGUUCGGAUUGAGGGCUGCAACUCGCCCUCAUGAAGCUGGAAUCCGUAGUAAUCGCGUUUCAACAGAACGCGGUGAAUACGUCCCUGCUCCUU
rnacentral:rRNA from 1 species